UGACGCUCAUGCACGAAAGCGUGGGGAGCAAACAGGAUUAGAUACCCUGGUAGUCCACGCCCCAAACGAUGUCAACUAGUUGUUGGGGAUUUACUUCCUUGGUAACGUAGCUAACGCGUGAAGUUGACCGCCUGGGGAGUACGGCCGCAAGGUUAAAACUCAAAGGAAUUGACGGGGACCCGCACAAGCGGUGGAUGAUGUGGAUUAAUUCGAUGCAACGCGAAAAACCUUACCUACCCUUGACAUGGCAGGAACUUUCCAGAGAUGGAUUGGUGCUCGAAAGAGAACCUGCACACAGGUGCUGCAUGGCUGUCGUCGGCUCGUGUCGUGAGAUGUUGGGUUAAGUCCCGCAACGAGCGCAACCCUUGUCAUUAGUUGCUACGAAAGGGCACUCUAAUGAGACUGCCGGUGACAAACCGGAGGAAGGUGGGGAUGACGUCAAGUCCUCAUGGCCCUUAUGGGUAGGGCUUCACACGUCAUACAAUGGUCGGUACAGAGGGUUGCCAAGCCGCGAGGUGGAGCCAAUCCCAGAAAACCGAUCGUAGUCCGGAUCGCAGUCUGCAACUCGACUGCGUGAAGUCGGAAUCGCUAGUAAUCGCGGAUCAGAAUGCCGCGGUGAAUACGUUCCCGGGCCUUGUACACUCCGCCC
rnacentral:rRNA from 1 species